AACGCCUGUAGACCGCGGAAAAAGUUUUAUCUAAUAAUACUAGUAAUUUGCCUGGAUAAUUACAGUACAACGGCGACGCAUCUGCCGAGUUCACGCAGCGGGUAAAUUAAAUCAGUUGCGUGGUUCGGAUCCGGUAACGUUUUCUCCCGUGUCGUGCACGCGUGCAGUAUUCUUGAUGUAAUUUAAUGCGCAAUAAGGGAGCUUAAACUAAUUUUUCUAUUAGACCUCUCGUUCCCUCGUCUUCUUCCCUUCGCUCGGCCGUCGGAAAUGGCCGCCCUAUCGACGCUGUUCACCGGCGUGAAGCGGCCGCCUCCAUUCCCCUCCUCCGCCGCCUUCCCUCUCUCCAAGCCCUUGUCUACUUCGAGAUCCCAACGGAGGAACCCCUUCUCUGCCUCGCUGGUCGUCAUCGCGGCUGUGACCAUCUCCAACGCCCAUACCCGGGAGCGGGAGAGGCUCAAGUAGCUAUUCCGGGAGGCUCGAGAAAGGUGCCUCGUCGAUCCCAUGGACGGUGUCUUCUUCACCCUCGACGAUUUCCUCGCCGCCUUUGACAAGCACGACGGGUCCGAGCCCAAGUUGGUCCCAAGGUUAUUAUAAUUCUUUGCAGCACAUGAGAUCCAACUAUUUUUCCAUUUUUUUUCUCCCCCAAGGUUAAAGGAACUGUCUUUAUGACAGAUGAUAAUGGUGCUCUUGUGGACAUUGUAGCAAAAGCAUCUGCAUACCUGCCUAUUCAAGAAGCAUCUAUUUAUAAAGUUUCACAUGUAGCAGAGGCAGGCAUAUAUCCCGGAUUAGAAGAUGAGUUUGUUGUAAUUGGUGAGAAUGCAGUAGAUGAUAGUUUGAUUUUAAGUCUACGAUCAAUUUGAUGCGAUCUUGCAUGGGAAAGGUGCCAGCAGCUCCAAGAUGCUGUGGUCACAGGUAAGGUGGGGAUCAUGUACCGCAUCUAGUUGUCUCCAUCUAUGAUUGCUAUGUCGGCCCUUUUCUUGGCAAACAUGGAUCUGCUGAUUAGGUCUCAUGUAUGAUAUUAGUCUCUGGUCCUUUUUUCUAUCAACUUUAGCUGAUCCACUCCCAGGAAGAUUUGAUGUUUUUAGUUUCAGAGUAUUCUUCCUACAAUUGCAUGAUUGACUUUGUUUCCUGUAUUUGCCUCUAUAUUUCUCAUGUUUUUAUUGGAAAAGUAAUAUUGGAAAAGCAAUACUGAAGGCUUGCAGCAUUGCAAUUAGCCAUAAGGGAUCAAGAUAAGACUCUCCAAAUGCCAACUUUGUCUCAUAUUGCUGCUGUUCAUUUGUAUUCAGAAGCCAUGGAGGAUUUUAUAGCUUUAUCUCUGUCUAAAUGUGUUGCUAUUUAAGCUUCAUAUACCAAGGUCUCUUGCUUUUGCAUCAAGAGUUGUUUUGAGCUUCAUAACACAUUAGGCUUUGAAUCUUAAACAAACUUGAAUCUCAAGCUUGCCCUUUACAUUUAUAUUCCUUCAAAGUUUCUACUAAAAUUCUCCUCAAUUUCUUAUUAAUAUUCGCAUUCAAACAAGCAUUUGCAAAUUCAUUUCAUUAAUUUGUGUUAAUGGAGCAAAGCCUCUCUAGGUAAUCAAAGAGCCUCCUUUUCUUCUUCUUUCAUCAAAUGCCUAUCUUGAAUUGGCUGUAUUAUCCAAAUAAAAAUAUGCAAGAGUCACUGAAAACAUAUAAUUAAAGUCCGCCAACUGCGAAUCAUGUGUAGCAUGUGGAACCAAGGACGGAAUAUACUGAUGUUUCUUCAAUUCUACUAUUUCAAUUAUAAUAAUUGAUGAAAAUGGAGUAAGCAGGAAGUGCUGUUACUGAAGGAUUAAUGUAAAUCAAUAUAAGCGGAAUGCUUGGGUUUGGUUUGAGCAGUUGAAUAGAGAAUGGCGGAUCAAAGAAACAUAGGUGCGAGUGCUAAAGCAGCAAACUGUAAUUUGAAAAAGCUCAUAUUGUAGUAUACCAUUAAUUAAGGUGACCAAAAAUAGAUUGAUCAAGGUAAAUUGCUUAUGUAAAUAACAUAAAUCUUCAGUGGGUUGAGGUUCAUUCAAGUUUCUGACCAACUAUCUAGCUUACAGUUGCAAAAAAGUAAAAGUGGAGGGGAUUCAGGUGGUAGAGCAAGAAAGUAUGUUUCUGUAAGGCAAACACAUUGUGUAAAAAUUGUCUGCAGAGUACAACACUGCAUAAGUCAAUUUAUUAAGGAAAGCUCCAAGUCUUUAUGAAAUUGAGGAGCUAGUGUGGUAUCAUGAUAGAAGCUUCCUGUAUCUAAGGCCCAAUAUUUCCUUUGAAAUUGGGAACUAAUAAGUGUUAGCAAUGUUUAUUAAUGGAAAGAUUGAUAAAAGGGAAAAAAAGUCUUGAGCAAUCAUGAAUAGGUGCUGCUAAUCCGCAAUAUGAACUAUUUUAAACAUUUUGAAGACAAUUGGAUCGACGGCUUAAAGUUUUUUUAUCAAGUGGUUGCGUGGCAAAAGGUUCAUGUGCAGAGUCAAAUAACAGUUCUAAUUAUUUAUGUCCAUUGGCUUUUAUAUAAUUUUAGGUUAAAUUUAGAGUUUUGAAGAGGUCUACAUGCUUGAGGGCAAGGUUCUUGCGUGGAUGUUGCGCUGCAGGCACAACCAUUACUGGAGGGGGGACCUAUGUUGAUUUUGCACCUUAGAAUCUGGUAUCUGGACUAUGUUGCAGUCAAACAUUCUUUAGGACUGAUGCAAUGUUAUACACCCGAAAUAUGGCAAAGGAAACUGCUUACAGGAGUCCCCUUGAUAUAUUUUUUUUCACUCUGUUAAAGAACCAAAAGUUUAGGAUUAGUUUUCUUUGGAUAUAGUUCUUAAUCCUUCUAGGUGAGUCUGUGCUACAAAAUUCUGUAUGCAAGGGCAUGAGUUAAUUUAUUAGAUUCAUUUAUGGACUGCUAGAAUUUAUAAAAGUUUGAUAAUCCAUGGGUCAUCUGUCAUCUGUAAACUUGAGUGAUGCCCAAUUGUGGUUGAACGAUUCCUUCAGACCCUCUUCUUCCUCCUACAGACCCUCUUCUUCCUCCUUGCUUUAUUGUAUUAAAAUAUUUUACUUAUCUCCUACUAAUACAUGUAGCCAUGUUCUCUAGGAUUUGUUAGGAAGGAUCACUGAGUUAGUUAAUUUCCCUUCCGAAAAAUGAAAACCUACUCAUAAAAUGCAUCCAAUUAUCAGCUCAUGGAACAGAUCUAUUGAAAUUUGGAACUCAAUAUUUGCCUCUAAUUAUGAUUUUUAGUGAGGUCAACAUAUAAUACUGUUUUGCCCUUCAUGCCUGCCUUUUAAUGAUCACAUGCUUUUAUGAACUGCAGGUUGUUGGGCAAAAUAAAGGAGGUGUGGUGGUCAUCAUGGAGGGCCUUCAUGGUUUUAUACCAUUUUCACAUAUUUCAAUGGUGGUUGUUGUAACCUGAUAUCUGCAUAUUCUAAUUUAUUGGUGCUACUUAGUUGAACACCUAGGUUGUUUCACUUAACAACCAUUUCCAAGAACAAUCUCGUUAUUUUUAAAGAAAAGCAAAGAGGAGUUUCACUGUGUUGCUUGUGAGUAAUAGCACAACAUUAGCUAAUAAAUCAAUAUCUUUUCCUGAUUCUGUUGGUAUUGUAGAAUAUAUAGAUCUUGUAGACAUCAGCCUCUAUUUUUUGGCAAAGUGGCACUCUGUCAAUACAGUUUACUUGCACUAGUCUGAUCUAGUAUUACUUGUUUCUGAUUCUUGGACUUGAUGUGCCAACUAGAUAUCAACUGCAAGAGAACUCAUCAACAAGAAACUACCUGUGAAAUUUGUGGAGGUUGAUAAAGAACAGUCUUGGCUUGUUCUCAGUAAUUGCAAGGCUGUGGCAAUCAAUAAAGCUCAUAUUGGAAUAGGGUCAGUUGUCACUGGAAUUGUUCAGGGCCUGAAACCAUAUGGUGCCUUUAUUGACAUAGGUGGAGUUAUUGGCCCUCUCCAUGUUAGCCAGAUAAUUUAUAACCUUGUUUCAGAUGUUGCGACAGUCCUGCAGCCUGGUGACAGGCUAAAGAGUGGCUUCUCGUAUUUGAGGUGAUUGUAGACCCCUUCAUGCCAAUUGUACCCAUCAAGGAUCUAGACAUAGCAGGAUCCCACUGGUAGAGGUGUAAAAAUGGAACGAGUAAUUUUAGCAUGCUGCUGCUACUCUUUCUUCCAUAGGCUUCUACGGAGAUACUUUUUGUCAGACAGUUGUUAUCAUCAAUUCUUGCUUUUGUAUUUUUAUGCUAAUAUUGUUGAAAUGCUAGGAAACAUCCUCCGCAAUGUUGUAUAAAUGGUGUUGACAAGAUCAUGAGAAGUUACUGGACAAAGCAGAGAGUAGCUAUCAGUCUCAUAUUUUCAUUU